CCUACGGGAGGCAGCAGUGGGGAAUAUUGGGCAAUGGAGGCAACUCUGACCCAGCAAUGCCGCGUGAAUGAUGAAGGUCUUCGGAUUGUAAAGUUCUUUAGUCAGGGAAGAAGUCAAUGACGGUACCUCAAGAAUAAGCUCCGGCUAACUACGUGCCAGCAGCCGCGGUAAUACGUAGGGAGCAAGCAUUGUUCGGAAUGACUGGGCGUAAAGGGUGCGUAGGCGGUUGUACAAGUUAGAUGGGAAAUGCCCAGGGCUCAACUGGGGUGCUGCUUCUAAAACUGUAUGACUUGAGUGCAGUAGAGGUAAGUGGAAUUCCUAGUGUAGCGGUGGAAUGCGUAGAUAGUAGGAGGAACACCAGAGGCGAAGGCGGCUAACUGGACUGCAACUGACGCUGAGGCACGAAAGUGUGGGGAGCAAACAGGAUUAGAUACCCUGGUAGUC
rnacentral:rRNA from 1 species